CCUGGCAGCUCCUUCCUGGGGCCGAGGGCCAAAAUCCUGACAAGAUUAAGAAGAGGCUUUGGGACUGGGCCAUGCCGGGAAAACAGGAAAGAUGACGAAUCAAACUCCCCUCUUUCUGGGGGAUGUUUAUUCCAGUGUUCCCUCAGCUGAGUUUUCUGGAUACACAGUAACCCUUGACUUUUCAUCCUGUGCCCAGCCUCUGGCCCCACGGCAACUAGGACACCCCUUAAUCCUAGAGCUCUCAGGACGGGCUUGCUCCCAUGUCUGCUUGGCUAACUGCACCGAACUCCUGGAAAGCAGGAAGAGCACAGAUAUAUCUUAACUGAGUGUGUACCUCGUUCCAUGGGAGAAACCGUCCUCUCAUACAAGCCUCUCCAGCUCCCCAGGGUCCAGCCUUACAACACCUGUGGCGGUUGGCCCUUGAAAACUAGAGCUGCCAUGAGACGGGACUUUGUGCUCCGGGAGAGUGGACGUUGGCUUCCUUCUACUUCAUCUUGGGGGGCAACGAAGGUCCUUCCUGCUGCCCAGAAAGUGAGGGUCCUUUGACAGAGGCCAAGCAGGCAGGGCCGUGCGAGGCACUGCCACGGCCCACACAGACACACACUGGGAACGAGAUUGCAUCUUCCCCGGACCAGCGAGAUUCUAUAAACAUAAUCAAAAUGUAAUAGAAACUUUUUGGAAAUGCUGUUAUGAGGAGAAAGCAUCAAUCUUGAUGGAACUCCGCUCAACAGGCUUUGCGGAGCUAAUCAAUCAUGGUCAGGACUCGGCCUCCCCAUCUGUCUGCGCCGGGGACCGGGCCGAGCUUACUCACUCCCCGGCUGGGGCUGCGUUCCCUCACCAGGCAAUCCAUCAUGCUGCAGGGGGAUGGCGGGAGGGGAAUAAUAGCACGCUAAUAAACUAGGGGCUUUUUUCAUUCCCAACUAAUUUUUAGUAAAUGAGCCCAAUCCAGACAGAGCAAGAAAAAGAGCCCGAGGAGAUGGUGCUUCUGAGAUGCGCCUGGCUGGCCGGGGACAAUGGCUCAUGGGCCCGAGGGGAAGCAAGGAGCCCACGCGCCCAGGGAUAACUCCCUGUGUUCAGCUGAGGCCAGAACUGGCCCUUGAAAGCUGUUGGGAAGAAUGAGGCUGGGACAACUUCUGGACUGGUGGCCUGGACUUUCGGGGCUGGCUCAUAGCUCUGAUGCUAGGAAUGUGGCUACAACACCUGCGUCUGGCUUGGGGUUUGAACUUACAACGGAAGCCAGAAGUCAGAGAGCUAGGUCCAAGCAAUGGGCCUGAUGGCUGAUAACAAGAAAUGAACCCAGGGGCCAGAACCAAGGAGUAGAGUGAAGAGCAGAGUGCAAGACGGGCAUAGACAGAGGUUAUGAAUAAUCAAAGAUGCGUGGGGCCCAAUUUCAUCCAGCAGUAGCAGCCUUGGGGGUGCAACACAUUGCAAAGCAGGACAGGGUCCAGAAGCGGAUAUUCUUAGACAGGCCUGUAAUUUGGGGGACCAUGUCUGUUUGUGCUCAUGCUUCUGUCUUCAGCUCUUUGCUUAGUGCGUGUUGUGUGGUAGGCACUCAUCAAUAUUUGUUAAAUGAAUAUAUGAAUGAGAACUGUCCCUGUGAUAGCAGAUUUUGAAGAUGUGGUCUGACAACUUCUUUAAACUUUUCAAGUUCCUGUCCUGAAAUACAUCACAGGUUCAGUCCCUGGUUUCUUCCCACUCAGGACCCUGUCUUGGAUGCAAGGACAGUUUGGAGAAGGUGUAUGUAUUCAUAAUCUAUUGCUGUGUAACAAAUUACCCCCAAACUAAGUGGCUUCAAACAACAAUAAAUAUAGAUUAUCUCUCACAGCUGCUGUAGGUCAGGGAUUCAGGAGCUGUUUUCUCUGGAUGAUUCCCAGUCCUGGUAAGUCUCUCUGGAGGCCUGGUUAUCAGUUCUGCACCAGGAAUUCAUGGAUGCUGCAAAUUUUUUGACACUCCUCUCCUCAAGAGGUGGGGUCUAUUUCUUCCUCCCCUUGAACCUGGGCUGGCCUGUUACUGUUUUGAUCAAAAGAGGAGUAUGGAAGAAGUGAUGCUACACCAGUUCUGGGUCCAGUUUAUUUACUUUUUAUUUUUUUUUAAAGAUUGGCACCUGAGCUAACAACUAUUGCCAAUAUUUUUUUUUUCUGCUUUAUCUCCCCAAAUCCCCCCGGUACAUAGUUGUAUAUCUUAGUUGCGGGUCUGGGUCCAGUUUUAAAAAGGACUGGUAACUCCUUGGAGUCUCCUGGAACCUGAGCUGCCAUCUGAGAAGUCUGCCCAGGCUGCUGGGCACACUUCGUGGACAGGCCCUGAGUCUAUGUGGACAAGGGAAGGUGCCCAGCUGAGCCCAGUUUUCUAGUCCUUGCCUACAUCCAGACACGUGAGCGAUGCCAUCUUCGGCCCUCCAGCCCAGCCCAGCCCAGCUAACAGAAUACCACCAAGUGACCACAGUUGAUGCCACAUAGAGCAGGAAAACGGUCCAGGUGAACCUUGCCACAAAAUCAUGAGACACAAUAAAAUGGUGGUUGUUUAAGCCUCCUAAUAUUGGGGUAGUUUUUUCUGCAUCAAGAGAUAAUUGGAAAACCCAGAAUCCAAGGAAAAAUCAUUAGAUCAUGGCUGGCCUAAUUGCACAUUCUGUGCUUGAAUCAUUUCUGUGAUUUUUUUCCUCCCAGACGUCAUUCAGUCUUUUGCUUAAAUACCUAGAGUGGCAGGACAAUUCUGACCUCUGGAGUUAGCUGUAGAGUGGGAUGGUUACGAUUCUCCUCCCCUCUUUCUUCUCUCCCUCUAUCCUCCCUUCUUGCUGCCUCCUUCCUUUGUUUCUUUCCUGCCCAAAUGUUUACUGGGGAGAGAAUCAGAAAAUGGUUCCCAGAGGAGGUGUAUUAGUCAGGGUUCUCCAGAGAAAUAGAACUAAUAGGAUACAUAGAGUUAUAUAUAUAUAUGAGGGGAGAUUUAUUAAAAGAAUUGGCUCACAUGGUUGUGGAGCCUGAGAAGUCCCACAAUCUGCCAUCUGCCAGCCGGAGAACCAGGAAAACCAAUGGUAAAAUUCAGUCCGAGGCCAAAGGCCUGAGAACUGAGGGGCUUGCUGGUGUGAGUCAUGGAGUCCUGAGGUCUGAGAACCAGAAGCUCCGAUGUCUGAGGGCAGAAAAAGGUGGACGUCCCAGCUUAAGAAGGGAGAGAGAGACUUUGCCCUUCCUCCACCUUUUUGUUUCAUUCGGGUCCCCAACGGCUUGGCCGAGGCCUGCCCACGUAAGGGAGAGCGAUCUCUUCAUUCAGUCUACCGAGUCAGACACUAACCUCCUCCAGAAAUACCCUCACAGACUCACCCAGAAAUCAUGUUCUACCAGCUGUCUGGGCAUCCCUUAGCGCAAUCCAGUUGACACAUAGCGCUAACCAUCGCAGGAGGUGGUGCCCAAGCUGGGUCUGGAUUGGAGCGCAGGAGUUGAGCAGGUACAUGGGGAGGAGCUCAUUCUAGGCAGGGCUGGUGUUGAGAGUGGAAAGGGUGGUAAUGGUGGAACUUGGAGUGAGAGGAGAGGUAGUUGUGGCCAUGUCGUACAAGGCCUUAAUGCCACUUGGGAAUUUAGACUUUACGGCCAGACUGAGCAGAAAGAGAUCUCCCUUUCAGAAGCCACCUUCUGGUCGCUGUGUGGGUGGUCAGUGUGGCAGCAGGGAGACCAGUUAAGAGGUCAAUCAGGUGGACAGAUGGUGGCUGCUUGGACCAAGAUGGAGGUGGAAGAGUUGCAGGAAAUUGAGUAGUUAGAAAGAGUAACGUGUGUUUGCUGUAUUCCUGGAGAAUAGGUAAUUCUGCUCUAAAGGACAAGAAAAAAAAAUAGGAUGGAUGAACCUCCUAAGAAACGUAUGGCAUAGAUAGUACAUAAGCUAGUAGCUCAUGCGACAGAGGCAAAACUUAGAGAAUGUGUUAAGUAUACACAAUGAGUAAGCUUGUGAGACCCAGGCAAAAUUCAUAAGAUGUGGUAAAUAUAGAUAGUAAGAAUGUUAGUGACCUGCUAAUCAUAGAUACAUUAAAUGGCUUAUAUGGUAAAACAAACAAGAGUGUUAGAAAUGGGUGGAAAGACCAAGUCAUGAUUAUGCCACUUCCGGUCUGACAGCAAGUUCAUCCCUAAAUUGGCCACCCAUUGGUGUUACCAGUCAUGGUCUCAUUCUGUCCUCACGUAUGCUCUGUCCAAGAAAUGCAGAUAAAACUCACAGCUGUUCAGCAGGCAAGUGACCAAGCUGCAGCGGUGGCCAGGCGUACAUACUUGCCCUUGUCUCUUCAACAGAACAUGUGUGUGAUGGCUCCAGGCACCUUCUAUCUGUUGGACCCUCUUGCCCAAACCUACAUUCUGGUCUUCUGAACCACACAUCAGCAGGGCAGACUGAUAUGACAGAGAGAGAGACAGGACAUGUGAACAUUGCCUACCCCAGGGUUCCAGGGUCAUUUGGUCCUUCUACCCACUCACACUCCAUCUUAAAUGUACCAACCAACCUCACUUCUUUUUAAAAAAUUUUUUGCUUUGUGUCUUAAUUGGUUUAAUGAACAGUGCAAUUUGAGCAUCUCAGUUUAGCCUGUGAGCUUCUUGUUCCGUGGCUUAUGAGUUAGUUGCCUGGUGGUGUUGUGAUAGGAGAAGGCAGACCUUUGGCAGGGACAAGAUGGGUUAUCAAGAGCUCUCUUAAGCUUCGAACCUCCAUCUCAAUUUGGGAAGUACACAUUUAAUGCACCCACGGAGGGCUCUGGGCAGGUGAGGUGUUGCAGGGGAGUAGUCUUCAGGGGCCCCAGCCUCAGCUCUGUGGGUCUGUUAUACCCUGAAACAAGUUCAAGAUCAAUGCCUGCUAACCAGACUCUCCCUAGUUUGUGCCUCUUCCACUCUCACUUAGACUGUUGUCCCAUCUUCCUGCCUAUCCCUGCUCACAGCCUGCCCUCUUCAGCCCACCUUCCACCCACGGGAGUUAUUCUAAAACACAGAUCCAGGCUAUGAUGUCAAGUCCCUGUGCUUGGAGGUGUGGAGGUCUUGGAGAGUGUGAACAACAGGAGGCAGGAAGAGGGAGCAACAUACUUUGCAUUUGUCAGUUUUUGCUGCAUAACAAACAAUCUCAAACAUUUAUUUUUAAGCUCACAGGUCAUCUGAGUUUUAGUUAACCUUGAUUGGGUUUGGCUGGGCCAGGCUGGCCUCCAGGCUUCCAGUUGGGCUAAACUUGGCUCCAUGUUUUUCAUUUUGGGAUCCAGGAUGAAGAGUCAGCAGCUCUUUGGAGCAUGAUCUUCUCAUGGCGUUUCAGUGGAGCACAUGAAGCCAAGCCAAGCUAAGCAGGCACAUUUAAAGCUCCUGCAUCCGUCACAGCUUUCUGCUAACAUUUCAUUGGCCAAAGCAAGUCACAUGGCUAAGCUUAACAUCAGUAGGAAUAUUAGUCAACCCUAAAAUGGAAGGAGAUUCUGACACAUGCUACUACAUGGACGAAUCUUGAGGACAUUACGCUAAGUGAAACAAGCCAGUCACAAAAGGACAAAUAUUGUAUGACUCCACUUAUAUGAGGUCCC
ensembl:lncRNA